UUAAAUGCUCACAUAGCUGGGAAAUUCCACAUAGUUGCAGAUCCACAGGAAAAGGCACGAAAGGCUUGAUCCUGUAAAUGAAUGAACCAGACCUUGGAGGAACCCAAGAAUGACAUCCUGGAUGUAAUCCUGAAUGCUGCUUAGUGUGUCAAUCUGAAUAUAAUAUAUUCCCAGUAAAGAAGGCUCAUUCUGAAGAGCAUAGGCUGGUGCAGGAUUUCAGAGCAAUAAUCCAAAUAAACAAUGGGAAAGUACUUCUUUGACUGCUUUGGAUUUAGAAGAUGCUUUCUUUUGCAUUCUGGUGGAUGAGCAGAAAUCCAGCAAUGGGAAGAAAGAUGCAGCUGUGCUGGACAGUACUACCACAGAGAUCAAGAAACAGCUCUACUCUGUUUGCUACAGAAGAAGAGAAAUCUGAUUAACCCUGUUGACUCCAUUCAGGACUCACCAACACCAAACAAUUCAAGAGUGGUGAAUUCUACCUGGUUCAAAUAUGUGAAGCUAAGUGGUAACAGCAGGAUGGGCAAACAGCUUCUUAGAGCAGAAGAUGUC